UCCCAAAAUGCAGAUUUACACUA
rnacentral:piRNA from 1 species